rnacentral:rRNA from 1 species
UACGGGGGGGGCAAGCGUUGUUCGGAAUUACUGGGCGUAAAGGGCUCGUAGGCGGCCAACUAAGUCCGACGUGAAAUCCCCAGGCUUAACCUGGGAACUGCGUCGGAUACUGGUUGGCUUGAAUCCGGGAGAGGGAUGCGGAAUUCCAGGUGUAGCGGUGAAAUGCGUAGAUAUCUGGAGGAACACCGGUGGCGAAGGCGGCAUCCUGGACCAUUACUGACACUGAAAAGCGAAAGCCAGGGGAGCAAACGGG